rnacentral:lncRNA from 1 species
ACGGACAGAAUCCCUCAGAGAGCCCCAAGGGGGCAGGCCCAGCCUCAGGGUCGGGCAGUAGACGAAGAGGUAUUUCCCCUUCUAGUUGUGGAUUGAAGAAGGGGCACAUUUCAACAACCCCUUUUUGCCGAACUGAGGGGAGAAAUACCACCAGUCCUUCACCGAAGGAUGACGCUUGAAGGUAUAGAAGUGCCUAAACAGAGAGAGGGAUGGUUGGACCUCGACUA